CAGCCGCCGCGGGAAUACGUAGGUGGCAAGCGUUGUCCGGAAUUAUUGGGCGUAAAGGGCUCGCAGGCGGUUUCUUAAGUCUGAUGUGAAAGCCCCCGGCCCAACCGGGGAGGGUCAUUGGAAACUGGGAAACUUGAGCGCAGAAGAGGAGAGUGGAAUUCCACGUGUAGCGGUGAAAUGCGUAGAGAUGUGGAGGAACACCAGUGGCGAAGGCGACUCUCUGGUCCGUAACUGACGCUGAGGAGCGAAAGCGUGGGGAGCGAACAGGAUUAGAUACCCCUGUAGUCCCUGUCUCUUAUAC
rnacentral:rRNA from 1 species